AUUGAACGCUGGCGGCAGGCCUAACACAUGCAAGUCGAACGAGUGGCGGACGGGUGAGUAAUGUCUGGGAAACUGCAUGAUGGAGGGGGAUAACUACUGGAAACGGUAGCUAAUACCGCAUAACAUAGGAUGUGCCCAGAUGGGAUUAGCUAGGAGUGGGGGUAACGGCUCACCGAGGCGACGAUCCCUAGCUGGUCUGAUAGGAUGACCAGCCACACUGGAACUGAGACACGGUCCAGACUCCUACGGGAGGCAGCAGUGGGGAAUAUUGCACAAUGGGCGCAAGCCUGAUGCAGCCAUGCCGCGUGUAUGAAGAAGGCCUUCGGGUUGUAAAGUACUUUCAGCGGGGAGGCGUUACCCGCAGAAGAAGCACCGGCUAACUCCGUGCCAGCCGCCGCGGUAAUAC
rnacentral:rRNA from 1 species